AUAUAUCUAUAAUACUAAAAUUACGAGGUCCAAUUUGUCAGCCGUCAUCACGUAAAAACGACGAAUCAAAGAAUUCAACUUUAUAUAUAACUAAUAUAGUACAAAGGUGUAGAUUAAAAAUUACACCACUCCAGGCCCUUUUGUUUUCCACGUAAUUAUUAUUGCCAAUAAUUAAGAAGUUCCGGGUCGAGUCCGAUACCGAUACCAAUAGUAUGUUCACCUGUUACCUAUUACCUUAUAUCUGUACGUUCCGCAUCUGACAGGCGCACCACCAAACGGUGUAUUUAGGAUUAAUAUGCUAUAUACACGGGUCAUAAUCACAGGGUUGACACUACUAAAUUUAAUCAUUUAAUCAGUAAGACUUUCUAAGAUAACAAUACGAAUACUAAAAAUCUGGACUAAAAAUAAGGCGUAUAGGUACAGUUUUCAAUUUGUUAGCGGGCAUGGCGUAAAACAGUGAAUCAAAGAAUUCAACUUUAUUUAUAACUAAUAUAGAACAAUGCUGUUGAUUAAAAAAUACUCCAUUCCAAUCAAUAUUACCAAUAAUUGAUAAGUUCCAGUUCGACGGGUUCAAACAGAAAGAUUUGAAAGCAGAGAAAACUGUGUAUCUUAUAAUCGGCAUGACUUUAUCAG
rnacentral:lncRNA from 1 species